GCUUAUCAUGCAAGUCGAGGGGUAACAGGGUCUUCGGAUCGCUGACGACCGGCGCACGGGUGCGUAACGCGUAUGCAACCUACCUCUAACUGGGGAAUAGCCCCGAGAAAUCGGGAUUAAUACCCCAUAAUAUUCAUCAUUCGCAUGUUUGAUGAAUUAAAGUUCCGACGGUUAGAGAUGGGCAUGCGUGACAUUAGCUAGUUGGUGAGGUAACGGCUCACCAAGGCAACGAUGUCUAGGGGUUCUGAGAGGAUUGUCCCCCACACUGGUACUGAGACACGGACCAGACUCCUACGGGAGGCAGCAGUAAGGAAUAUUGGUCAAUGGACGAAAGUCUGAACCAGCCAUGCCGCGUGCAGGAUGACUGCCCUAUGGGUUGUAAACUGCAUUUGUAUAGGAAGAAACUUCCGGACGUGUCCGGAACUGACGGUACUAUACGAAUAAGGACCGGCUAACUCCGUGCCAGCAGCCGCGGUAAUACGGAGGGUCCAAGCGUUAUCCGGAUUUAUUGGGUUUAAAGGGUGCGCAGGCGGAAUGAUAAGUCAGUGGUGAAAACCUACAGCUCAACUGUAGACCUGCCAUUGAUACUGUCAUUCUUGAGUACAGUGGAAGUGGGCGGAAUGUAUCAUGUAGCGGUGAAAUGCAUAGAUAUGAUACAGAACACCGAUAGCGUAAGCAGCUCACUAUACUGAAACUGACGCUCAGGCACGAAAGCGUGGGGAGCAAACAGGAUUAGAUACCCUGGUAGUCCACGCCGUAAACGAUGAUCACUCGUUGUUGGCAAUACAUCGUCAGCGACUGAACGAAAGCAUUAAGUGAUCCACCUGGGAAGUACGAUCGCAAGGUUGAAACUCAAAGGAAUUGACGGGG
rnacentral:rRNA from 1 species